rnacentral:rRNA from 1 species
UACGUAGGUGACAAGCGUUGUCCGGAUUUACUGGGCGUAAAGAGCGCGCAGGCGGUCGUUCAAGUCGAGUGUGAAAGCCCCCGGCUCAACUGGGGAGGGUCACUCGAUACUGAUCGACUUGAAGGCAGGAGAGGGAAGCGGAAUUCCCGGUGUAGUGGUGAAAUGCGUAGAUAUCAGGAGGAACACCGGUGGCGAAGGCGGGUCUCUGGGCCGAAAUUGACGCUGAGGAGCGAAAGCGUGGGGAGCAAACAGG